CCUACGGGGGGCAGCAGUGAGGAAUAUUGGUCAAUGGGCGUAAGCCUGAACCAGCCAAGUCGCGUGAGGGAUGAAGGCUCUAUGGAUUGUAAACUUCUUUUAUAAGGGAAUAAAGUGUGGGACGUGUCCUAUUUUGUAUGUACCUUAUGAAUAAGGAUCGGCUAACUCCGUGCCAGCGGCCGCGGUAAUACGGAGGAUCCGAGCGUUAUCCGGAUUUAUUGGGUUUAAAGGGUGCGUAGGCGGCAUUUUAAGUCAGGGGUGAAAGUUUGUGGCUCAACCAUAGAAUUGCCGUUGAAACUGGGGGUCUUGAGUAUGUUUGAGGCAGGCGGAAUGCGUGGUGUAGCGGUGAAAUGCUUAGAUAUCACGCAGAACCACGAUUGCGAAGGCAGCAUACCAAGCCAUGACUGACGCUGAUGCACGAAAGCGUGGGGAUCAAACAGGAUUAGAUACCCGAGUAGUC
rnacentral:rRNA from 1 species